UACGUAGGGGGCGAGCGUUGUCCGGAUUCAUUGGGCGUAAAGCGCGCGUAGGCGGCUUCGCAAGUCGGCCGUGAAAUCUCCGGGCUUAACUCGGAACGGCCAAGUGAAACUGUCAUGCUAGAGUGCAGAAGGGGCAAUCGGAAUUCUUGGUGUAGCGGUGAAAUGCGUAGAUAUCAAGAGGAACACCUGAGGUGAAGACGGGUUGCUGGGCUGACACUGACGCUGAGGCGCGAAAGCCAGGGGAGCAAACGGG
rnacentral:rRNA from 1 species